AAAUCAGAUAAGAGUUAAUAUUAGGUAGAGAUGAAAGCACGUUAUAAUUAUGAUGGAAUAUUAAGGCAGUAAUAGAGGAAUAGAAAGAAGACCGUAGAAAAGUAGAAUGUCAGAAUGUAUAUUAUAGUAUGACUAAGAAGUCCUACCAUUAGGAGACAGAAUUGAAUAGAAGCAAAUAACAAAAAAGAUAUAAGAAGACUUGUAAAAUGACUAUAUUAUAGAAAGUAUAAGUUAUCUUAGCAAGUGAUAUCA
rnacentral:sRNA from 1 species